CCUACCUACGGGGGGCAGCAGUGGGGAAUAUUGGGCGAUGGGCGCAAGCCUGACCCAGCAACGCCGCGUGAAGGAAGAAGGCUUUCGGGUUGUAAACUUCUUUUCUCAGGGACGAAGCAAGUGACGGUACCUGAGGAAUAAGCCACGGCUAACUACGUGCCAGCAGCCGCGGUAAUACGUAGGAUGCGAGCGUUAUCCGGAUUUAUUGGGUUUAAAGGGUGCGUAGGCGGGCUUUUAAGUCAGCGGUAAAAAUUCGGGGCUCAACCCCGUCCGGCCGUUGAAACUGUGGGCCUUGAGUGGUCGCG
rnacentral:rRNA from 1 species